UGGUCAGCUUUGUAUGUGUACGGCUUAAGUCAUAUACAUAUGUAGUUUUGAGAGUCACUUUGUUUGUCUUAUCUUAUCUCUAAAACAAAAGCUCAAAAGAUAAAGCCACGCUUGUGUAAAAGAACUUUGGUUAGCUGAUUUAUCUUAGUCAGCAAUACUAUCUGUUUUUUUUUGAAGUAAGCUUAUCCUACGCCCACGCGGUUCAUGGAAAAUUUUAAGCAUGUGCAUUUAGUUGGUCAGAGUCUCUCAAAUAAAUCAGAUCGUUCUUGGAGUAAAUAAAAUCGUACACUUAAAACACGUGAUAAUUUUUGCACAUGCCAAAUAAAUAUAAAAAGGCAAUUUUAAUCAAAGUGCGUUACAAAAAUAUUAAGUGCAUAAUAGAAAACCGAUCAAGAGACGUAGGAAGAACCUAACUUGGCAAAACAUAUAUCUGUGCAGUUUCAGGAUUUGUGGUUGGAUUUAAAUCCACCAAUUAAUGAAACUGCACCUUCUGACGAAGCACCACAAAAUAAUUUAGCUGUUAAGCUGGCCAAGCGACGUUCAACCUGAUCAACUAAAAACUCACAGCAGCGCAGCGUAAAGGAAAUAACUUGGAUGAGAAUUAAAACUAUAUAUACUGGAC